rnacentral:rRNA from 1 species
GAUGAACGCUGGCGGCGUGCCUAAUACAUGCAAGUCGAGCGAACAGACGAGGAGCUUGCUCCUCUGACGUUAGCGGCGGACGGGUGAGUAACACGUGGAUAACCUACCUAUAAGACUGGGAUAACUUCGGGAAACCGGAGCUAAUACCGGAUAAUAUAUUGAACCGCAUGGUUCAAUAGUGAAAGACGGUUUUGCUGUCACUUAUAGAUGGAUCCGCGCCGCAUUAGCUAGUUGGUAAGGUAACGGCUUACCAAGGCGACGAUGCGUAGCCGACCUGAGAGGGUGAUCGGCCACACUGGUACUGAGACACGGUCCAGACUCCUACGGGAGGCAGCAGUAGGGAAUCUUCCGCAAUGGGCGAAAGCCUGACGGAGCAACGCCGCGUGAGUGAUGAAGGUCUCCGGAUCGUAAAACUCUGUUAUUAGGGAAGAACAAAUGUGUAAGUAACUAUGCACGUCUUGACGGUACCUAAUCAGAAAGCCACGGCUAACUACGUG